AUAAUUACCUGGACUGGGUCAAUGGAUGAUCAAGAAGGUCUAUGGCCUAGGUUAGCGCCCUCCAUUGCACUUUGGAGAGGAGCUCGCCUAAGAUCUUCCCAAGUGGAGGAGUCUACGUCAUAAUUUGUGAUAGAGGAGUAUGCGUUCGCGCGGCUGCUGC
rnacentral:snRNA from 11 species